UCUUGAUUUUGAAACAGAAGACGGAUAUUUUGGAGAACCUAAAUUGAAGAGGUCAUUUCCCUCUGUAAAAAUUCCCACUUAUGAGUUUUGAUGGUAACUUCAAUUAAAGAAAAAAGACAUAGCUCGAUCUCAUCCCAAUACACUGACAUGGCAAAUAAUCAUAAGACUGAUUGAGUCGGUUUGGCGUAGCAAUUCCAGAUUCUUUGUUGCAAACUGAACAACUUGCUUUGUUCAGUUUCAACAAGUUGUGGUGUGGUAAGAUUAACUGUGGUCUAUUGCAGCAAGUUGAACAUAAACUUGUUUUGCUAUGAUUACAGAUUUGAAAACCAUCCAGAAGUUAUUGUUGAACCUGCAAGAGAUGAUGUUGUUCAGGUUGCUAAUUCUAUGAAGCUAUUUUUCCUUUUUGUUUCCUGCCGCAUGAAAUAAAUAGAGUUCAUUCUAUGAUUGAUCAGGUUAAAAAUAAUGAGAUCAAAGGAGGAGGGAAAAAAACAUAUUUAUUCCAUCGAUGUCAGUUGCCAAGUUAUUAAGAUCAAGAUCGAACAAGGAAAAACAAGCAACACAUGGAACAAAAGAAGUGGAAACAAUUAAAGCAACCCUAUCAACUUUACAAGAAAGUUAAUUUAUUUGCUCAUUAGGGUUUGCAUGUUACUUCGUAUAUGAUUAAAGUACACAUUUAUUAGAAAUUGACGAAUCUUUAAUUCGCGUUUGCUAGACCUUCAACGACAAAUGGCGUUAAAGGAUAGGCAAAACAAUAGUCUCCAUGGAGAGCAUGAUGAGAGGCAACUUGUUGAGAACAAUGAUAAUGCUUUAGAAGAUCAAGAAGGCGGUAACAAUAUAGACGAGAAAAGAAACUAUGAUUUAGAAGAUCAAGAAAAUAAUAUCAUUUCAAACAUGUUGAGAAACCAUGAUGAGGAGACACUUGCUGACAAGGAGGGGGAAGAGGAUAAUUCUGGUAUGACUUAUUUUAUACUCUCUAAUUUAAAAAAAAUUCUUCAUUUGCGAUGGUAUUGAGUCAGGUUUAAGCUAUAUAUACAUGUAUUAGAGAAAACAAGAUAAAUAAGAAAACAUACAAGACCGUCACUCCUAGAGGUCCUACAAGAAAUCUUCAAAUGGCAAAAAUGAGACCCGAUGAGAAGAAAAAAGUGGAUUUCAACAUAAAAGGCCAACCUAUUGGUGUGAAUAGAGCUUGUCUUGCAAGUUAUUGUGGCUCCCUUGUUAGAGAUCCUCUUAAUGCCCCACUUCAAAAGUUGAAAGUAUUUUCAAAAAUUCCAGAAGAGAAUAAGGAGAAGAUGUGGGAUCUUGUUCUGGAAAAAUUUGAUAUUGGACUUGAGGAUGAUCAAGAUGAAGGGGAACGUGAAAAAAUAAAAAAAGAAAGGAAAAAGUACAUCAUGGGGUCUUUGAAUAAAAAAUACAGGAAUUAUCGUGCAAGACUAAAAGCUGAUUAUUAUGAUAUUGAGAGCACAAACGAGGAGAGGCUUAUAGAAGAAAACAAGCCACCAAAUGUUGACAAAGAUGACUGGGAACGGCUUGUUUAGUACUUUGGAUCAGACGAGUUUAAGGGUAAGAGUACAAGAAAUACCGAAAAUCGAUCUUACCAAGAUGCCGGACACACUUCUGGUACAAAGAGUUUUGCUCAAAAACUUGAAGACAUGUAAUGCCGACCAUGCUGAAAUUGGACGAGGAAACUCAUUCAAAAAAUUACAAGACACUGGUUACUGAAGUGGCAAAAGAAACUAUGUAAAAAUGAACGAGCUUUUAGUGCAACGUGAGGAGGGAGAAAUAAAUAUGGCUGAUGAAGAAAUCUAUGCAAAAGUUAAGCCCAUUGGUAAACGUGGUCAUGAUCGUGGCAAGGGAGUAAGCCCCUCCAUUACAUCAUUAUAGGUCAUUAAGUGAAGGAGAAAAACUGCGAAAAGAAGCUAAUGAGGCAAAGGAGGCCAAUGUGAAAAAUGAAGUACUUACUAGAGAGAUGAAAGUCAUGAAAAAAAAUAUGGAACUUAUGAAAGGGUUCAUGGGAAAAUAUUUGAUCGUUUGGGUUUUGAUAUGGAUGAGAAGGGGAUGGGGAUGGGGAUGGGGAUGAGGAGGAGGAUGAGGAUGAGGAUGUGGACGAAGAGCAUGGUGAGCUGUUUCGCUGAUCUGCUGUUGUUGUUAUGCUGAUCUGCGGCUGCUGUUAUGCUGUAAGCUGCUGUCUGCUGCUAUUGCUGUAAACUACUGCUACUGUUAUUGUUGUAAACUGCUGCUGCUACUGCUGUAAACUGCUGAUGUUGUUGUAAGCUGCUGCUGUAAACUACUGCUACUGUUAUUGUUGUAAACUGCUGCUGCUACUGCUGUAAACUGCUGAUGUUGUUGUAAGCUGCUGCUGUAAACUGUUGAUGUUGUUGUAAGCUGCUGCUGUAAACUGUUGAUGUUGUUGUAAGCUGCUGCUGUAAGCUGUUGUAACUGCUGUAAGCUGCUGUAACUGCUGUAUGGUGCUGCUGUGGUUGCUGUAAGUUGUUGUAUGCUGCUGUCUUGCUGUUGUUUUACCGUUUUUUUAGACUUGGUUUGACUUUUCAGUGACUUUUUUUAUGCACCAACCUAGGGAAUAUUUAAACCGUCGGGAGUGAUAGAAAUAUCUGAAUAUACCAAUCAGACAUCUUCUAAUACAUGUUAUUUUUGUGGUUUUUGUUUGUUUUGGGCUUGCUCAUUGUUGCAAGCUCUAAGAUGUUUUUUUGUUUGAGAUUGGACAAAAAUUGGUUAUCUUAUUAAUAAGAUUAUUGGAGUUGAUAAAUAUUCGAUUCUUAUGAAAUUUGGUGGUUACUUUUGCUAUUUUAUCAAUACACUAACUUUAUUUUCACUGCCUCUAAACACCUUUUAUGACAAUA